UACGGAGGGUGCGAGCGUUAUUCGGAAGCACUGGGCGUAAAGGGCGCGUAGGCGGCCUGGUAAGUCAGGGGUGAAAUCCCACGGCUCAACCGUGGAAUUGCCUUUGAAACUGCUGGGCUUGGAUCCUGGAGAGGGUGGCGGAAUUCCUGGUGUAGGAGUGAAAUCCGUAGAUAUCAGGAGGAACACCGGUGGCGAAGGCGGCCACCUGGACAGGUAUCGACGCUGAGGCGCGAAAGUGUGGGGAGCAAACAGG
rnacentral:rRNA from 1 species